CCGGGCACAGCAUCUUAACAGCAAUAUAAACUCGAAAAAGAACCUAAUAAAAAAUGUACAAGACCUAUAAUGGAGCCUUCCCAUCCAUGAACAUGAUUUUGUAGGUACAGGUUGAAUAUCAUUUAUCCAAAAUGCUUGGGACCCGAAGUGUUUCUGAUUUCAGACGUUUUUGGAUUUUGGAAUAUCUGCAUACACAAAAGGAGCUAUCUUGGGGAUGGGACCCAAGUCUAAAUAUGAAAUUCAUUUUUUUUCAUAUACACCUUAUGCACAUAGCCUGAAGGUCCCCUGUUCCUCUCAACUUGUAGGGCUGUGGAAUGGACCUAUUUUCUACCUAAGCUCUCAUAUGCAUUGUCUCCUGAUAUGGUUUGGCUUUGUGUCCCCACCCAAACCUCAUCUCGAAUUGUAAUCCCCAGGUGUUGAGGAAGGGUCCUAGUGGGAGGAUCUGAUGAUUGGAUCAUGGGGGCAGUUUCUUCCGUGCUGUUCUCAUAAGAGCGAGUGAGUUCCCACGAGAUCUGGUGGUUUUAUAAGAGGCUCUUCCUCCUUUGCUGUGUCUCCUGCCACCUUGUGAAAAAGCUGCUUGCUUCCCCUUUGCCUUCCGCCAUGAUUGUAAGUUUCCUGAG
rnacentral:lncRNA from 1 species